CGCGUAGGCGGUUUAACAAGUCGCAUGUGAAAUACCAGGGCUCAACUCUGGGGGGUCAUGCGAAACUGUUGGACUUGGGUGUAGUAGAGGAAAGCGGAAUUCCUGGUGUAGCGGUAAAAUGCGUAGAGAUCAGGAGGAACACCGGUGGCGAAGGCGGCUUUCUGGGCUAUAACUGACGCUGAGGCGCGAAAGCGUGGGGAGCAAACAGGAUUAGAUACCCUGGUAGUCCACGCUGUAAACGAUGAAUACUAGGUGUAGGGGACGCAGGUCUUCUGUGCCGGAGCUAACGCAAUAAGUAUUCCGCCUGGGGAGUACGGCCGCAAGGUUGAA
rnacentral:rRNA from 1 species